rnacentral:rRNA from 1 species
UACGGGGGGGGUAAGCGUUGUUCGGAAUUACUGGGCGUAAAGGGCUCGUAGGCGGCCAACUAAGUCAGACGUGAAAUCCCUCAGCUUAACUGGGGAACUGCGUCUGAUACUGGAUGGCUUGGAUUUGGGAGAGGAAUGCGGAAUUCCAGGUGUAGCGGUGAAAUGCGUAGAUAUCUGGAGGAACACCGGUGGCGAAGGCGGCAUUCUGGACCAAUAUUGACGCUGAGGAGCGAAAGCCAGCGGAGCAAACGGG